rnacentral:rRNA from 1 species
UACGUAGGGUGCAAGCGUUGUUCGGAAUUAUUGGGCGUAAAGCGCGUGUAGGCGGCUUUGCAAGUCGGGUGUGAAAGCCCUCGGCUCAACCGAGGAAGUGCGCCCGAAACUGCAGAGCUUGAGUACCGGAGAGGAUGGCGGAAUUCCCCAAGUAGAGGUGAAAUUCGUAGAUAUGGGGAGGAACACCGGUGGCGAAGGCGGCCAUCUGGACGGAUACUGACGCUGAGACGCGAAAGCGUGGGGAGCAAACAGG